rnacentral:rRNA from 1 species
AUUUAGUAUUAAUUAUAAAAUAAACUAAUUUAUUUGGGCGGCAUUUAAUCUAAUUAGAGGAACUUGUUAUUUAAUCGAUAACCCACGUUAUAUUUCACUUCAAUUUAUAAUUUAUAUACCUCCAUCUUAAGAAUUAAUUUAUAAAAAUAUUCUAAAUAAUAAAUAAAAAGUUAGGUCAAGGUGUAAUCUAUAUUAAAGUUUAUAUGAGUUACUUUUAAAAAAAUUGAAGAAUUAAUUUAUCAUAAUUUUUAUGAAAAAGGAUUUAUAAGUAUUAUAACAAUAAUAAUAUUAUAUUAAUAAGAUAAUAAAUGUGC